rnacentral:rRNA from 1 species
AACGAACGCUGGCGGCAUGCCUAACACAUGCAAGUCGAACGAGACCUUCGGGUCUAGUGGCGCACGGGUGCGUAACGCGUGGGAAUCUGCCCUUGGGUUCGGAAUAACAGUUGGAAACGACUGCUAAUACCGGAUGAUGUCUUCGGACCAAAGAUUUAUCGCCCAGGGAUGAGCCCGCGUAGGAUUAGCUUGUUGGUGAGGUAAAGGCUCACCAAGGCGACGAUCCUUAGCUGGUCUGAGAGGAUGAUCAGCCACACUGGGACUGAGACACGGCCCAGACUCCUACGGGAGGCAGCAGUGGGGAAUAUUGGACAAUGGGCGAAAGCCUGAUCCAGCAAUGCCGCGUGAGUGAUGAAGGCCUUAGGGUUGUAAAGCUCUUUUACCCGGGAUGAUAAUGACAGUACCGGGAGAAUAAGCCCCGGCUAACUCCGUGCCAGCCGCCGCCGUAA